CUUCUUCUUACUCGAUAUUAUUUUUGUAAAAUAAAACUGUUCGAUUCAUGUGUACCCGAAGGAGAAACUUGAGAUCUUAAUCGGACGAGAUAAAAAUUACAAAAGUAUUAUCGUUAAUCGAUAGGCGGAACAACGUUAUCGGUGAUUCAGGACGAUGUUUACUCGAGUAAAUGUCAACGUCCUGUUAAUGAGGCGCACAAUUUAAUGCAUUCGUCGAUGCAAGAGAGUACGUCGUUACGUACGUAAGAAACUCGUCGUUAUGACCUGUCAACAUUUUCCUUUAAAAAAUACGACACUUAGCUGUCAUUUGAGAAAAGAUUAGAGAAAAGGGGGGAUUAGAGAAGAGGCGGUAGCGCGGAAGAAAAAGCAAAAGUUGUGCGAAAGGUACAAUAAUUUGAUGACGACGAAGCCAUUGAAAGCGGGUCGCCAGUUGGUGGUUGGUGUAGGAACGCGCGACAUGAAAUUUCGAACGGAACAGUACGAGAAAGUUGUGGAUAAAAGGAAAAAAAAAAAAAAGAAACUGGUUUCGAAAUCCGGACGCGAACAAAAAAAAAA